rnacentral:rRNA from 1 species
UGGCGGACGGGUGAGUAACGCGUAAGAACUUGCCUCAGACUGGGAUAACAGAGGGAAACUUCUGAUAAUACUGGAUAAGUUAGUAUAUCGCAUGAUAUGCAAAUGAAAGCUACGGCACUAAAGGAGAGCUUUGCGUCCUAUUAGCUAGUUGGUAAGGUAAGAGCUUACCAAGGCGAUGAUAGGUAGCCGGCCUGAGAGGGUGGACGGCCACAAGGGGACUGAGAUACGGCCCUUACUCCUACGGGAGGCAGCAGC